CCUACGGUAGACAGCAGUCGAGAAUCAUUCACAAUGGGGGAAACCCUGAUGGUGCGACGCCGCGUGGGGGAAUGAAGGUCUUCGGAUUGUAAACCCCUGUCAUGUGGGAGCAAAUUAAAAAGAUAGUACCACAAGAGGAAGAGACGGCUAACUCCGUGCCAGCAGCUGCGGUAAUACAGAGGUCUCAAGCGUUGUUCGGAAUCACUGGGCGUAAAGCGUGCGUAGGCUGUUUCGUAAGUCGUGUGUGAAAGGCGCGGGCUCAACCCGCGGACGGCACAUGAUACUGCGAGACUAGAGUAAUGGAGGGGGAACCGGAAUUCUCGGUGUAGCAGGGAAAUGCGUAGAUAUCGAGAGGAACACUCGUGGCGAAGGCGGGUUCCUGGACAUUAACUGACGCUGAGGCACGAAGGCCAGGGGAGCGAAAGGGAUUAGAUACCCCUGUAGUC
rnacentral:rRNA from 1 species